CGUGUAGUGGUGGGUGUUACCCAUGCACUGUGUGGUGAAAUUCAUGCAAUCACUGAAUGGGUACAGGUGUGGCCAAAAAUCAUUGUGGAACAUUUAGUUUAUGACUUUCAAGAUUUAGUACAUAAUUAUAGUGCAAGACUAUGGAAAGACACAUGAAGAUGCAAGACGUGAUAAUUGAGAGUGCUAGAGCAAUUGGGAUCCAUUAUUUAAAGCCAGAGCAAAUGAAAGCAAUGUAUUCAAUCAUUGGAGGAAAGGACACAUUUGUGUCACUGCCAACCGGCUAUGGAAAGUCAGUAAUCUUUGCUGCAUUACCUAUGGCCUUUGACCAAUUGAAAGGAACAUCUGGAAGCAUUGUACUUUGUAUUAGUCCCCUCACUUCGCUGAUGAUGGAUCAACAAAAAAAGUGUGCAGCUGGAGGAUUGACAGUGGAAUACGUUGGAGAAGCUCAGACAGACCGUAGUGCUAUUAACAGAGUACUGAAAGGAGAAGCUCAGUUGGUGUUCAUCUCCCCAGAGAGCAUAAUUAUUAGCGAAGGGUAUUUUUCGAAAUAAUUAUGCUUCUGUCACCACCGUAUAUAAAGAAUCUCGUUGCAGUAGUAGUUGAUGAAGCCCAUUGUGUUAAAACCUGGGGAGAUGAUUUUCGAGUUGCGAGAUUGGAGAUUUAAGGAGCCUCAUUCCAGACAAUGUCGGUGUUCACGCACUUACUGCUACCUCUACAACAGAAACAUUUUACAUUGUCAGUAGAAGGUUAUGUAUAGACGAUCCUACUUUAAUUGCCUCCCCUCCUUUCCGAGACAAUAUUUCUUAUGGUUCUUAUUUUAAUGG